AGGCUCGUUUCUGUCUCUUUGGUGGGCAUGGAGCAGCGUACGGAGCAGCGUUUCCCUCGGAGGCUUGCAACACGUGCCCCGGAGGCUGUGAAGCACGGGUGUGGAGAGCGGUAACGGGAGCAGCCGGCGUCCUUGGUCCUGGAUACUGCGGAAUCCUGCAGCUACAAGAUGAAAGUCUGCUCUCACAAAGGAUUUACAGCUGGAUCAAUUGGCUGUCCUUGGGGAGUUCUGAUCAAAGCUCAUCUUGCAACCACAUAAAGGCUAAGGCGGACACGGACUAUUUCCAAAUAAAGGCCUCCAACGAGAUGCUGCCGCUCUCCUAUCCAAAGAUGGAACGGGAAACGGACCAGCUAAAGAUGACUUCAGAGCUGGUAGCAGUGACAGAGCAGGUUCAAUGCCUGGAAAGAUGCAUAGUGGGCUUUGGAAACAAGACAGAAAGGCAUAAAAUAAAAACGUCGCAGUAAGAAUGUUCACCUCCAGCUGGAGUUGACAGAGGUCCCGCGGCAGCCGGCUCCCACCUCCCAUAACCAGACUCGGCUGCCAGAGCUGCCCACAGCGUGGACUCCACCUUGCAAAACCUAUUGGAUGCCAUCAGCGUGAACUUACUUUGAUACAUGCUGCCUCGGCUGCCUUCAGAACAUGCAAAACCGCUUGAAUUAGGUUCUGUGCGUUGCUCACGAGCAGCUCGGAAGAGGACUUGCUCUCUGCAGUGACUGCUUUUACCCUUAAAAGACAUUUUAAAGGAUUUUACUGGCAGAGCAUCAGACAGUGUGCCUCCCCUGUGUGGCCAGGACUCCGUCAGCUACUCCAAAACCAGGAGAUUGUCCCCUGCGCUGUCAGAGCAGGUUUCCAUAGAGGCAGGCAAAGCAGGGGAGGAAAGGACUGGUUGCAGCAACAGGAAGAGGAGAGGGAGCCCACUGAACUGUAACCCUCUAAGGGUUUGAAUUGUAGCCCUCUAAGGGCUGCACCCAGAUCCAGCAAGGACCUCAGGACACCACCCUGCACGCCUCUCUGAGAAGGGGGCCACCGGCCUCAGGAGAGAUUGUCCUUGGCCCCGGCAACUCACCUGGCCAUGAUGCCGAGCUGGCUGCUGAUGGUGUGGGUCUGCUCUGCGGCGCACAGCAGCUCUGCGGAGCAUCUCUUGUCGAGGCAGUGCUUUGCAAUGAUGCGGCCAAAUUUAACAAACACCCGCCCAUCGGAAGCAAUUUGCCUUGCGCAGGUGACAAGCUGGUCCUUGCUCUAAAGCAAAAGAGAAAUAAAUGUGGUUGGGGAGAGAAGAAAAACCACUUUACCUGCAAGGCAGGGGAGUGUCCAGGAAGCCCAGAUAUAUCCUGAAACAAGGGAAGGACUGGAUGCUAGGGUCACGUCUCAUCAGGAGGAGGGCUGCUGGCACAGGAGAUGCUGGGAGGACCAUUCUGGCGCUGUCGAGACAAUAACUGAACGGAUUUGAAGUCUGGAGCGUGCAGACGCGCCGAUGCUGAAAAGUCUCCGCCUGUGCAUUUCUGAAGCAGUUUUUGCGGGACUAUCGAAUCCGAAUGCCCCGUGCCAUUGUCUCCUGGAGCUAUCUCCAAAUGGGUGGUAGCUGUCACGUGAGCUGAGUUGAGAGGUACGAUUAAGUGCUGUAAACCACUUCGCUGAGUGGUCUGGAUUGUGCUGCUGAAGCCUUUGCCAGCUCCUGACAACCGACAGCAGUUGUUGUGGGAGUGGAGGUGCUGGUACUCCCGAAGGGCGGUUGUGGGGAGGUGAGGAGCUGAGCAGAGACAGGGGAGGGAGAGCAGUACAGCCCUCUGCUCCUCAGAAACAGCGUUAUGGGGAUGGGUUUAUUUAUGCAAGAGUGUCCGAUAGAUCAGAUAUCCAGAACUCGGUUGAAUAGGGCGGCCAGCAACCUGAUCUAGCUUUGAAGGUGGCCAGGGGGUUGGACUAUUGACCUCCCGAGGUGCCUGCCAGCGUCGCUUAUCUUAAUGCUCCGUGGUGUGGGUAAUGGGACCGACUGACAGCCCUGACCAUCACCCUGCAGUAAGUGUUGACAGGGGGGGAAAAAAGCUACUGUACCAUUU